AUAUACACAAAAGUCGGUAAUAUUGAAGAGAUGAAAAGGAAUGUCGGUCAAAAGAUAUUAUGGAUCAGUUAUCAGAUGGUGGUGAUUUGGAGAUAGUCUAAAAGCGGCAGAAGCCAGGGAAAUUGAAACUUGGA
ensembl:ncRNA R05H11.3 ncRNA